rnacentral:rRNA from 1 species
AACCUGGGGCAUGCCUACCAUGCAAGUCCCACGGAGAGUGGGGCGACUCACUCUCAGUGGCAAACGGGUGAGUACACGUGAAUAACCUGCCUUUGAGAGGGGGAUAACUGUCCGAAAGGAUAGCUAAUACCCUAUAUUGCCUUUUGUCACUAAGGCAAAAGGUGAAAGCGAGGCUGUCAAAGGCUUCGGCUCAAAGAGGGGUUCGCGUCCUAUCAGGUAGUUGGUGGGGUAAUGGCCUACCAAGCCAAUGACGGGUAGCUGGUCUUAGAGGAUAAUCAGCCACAGUGGGACUGAGACACGGCCCGCACCCCUACGGGGGGCAGCAGUGGGGAAUCGUGGGCAAUGGGCGCAAGCCUGACCCCGCAAUGCCGCGUGAGGGAAGAAGCCCUUCGGGGUGUAAACCUCUGUCAGAUGGGAAGAUGGGACUAGGGGCUAAUACCUCCUAGUCUUGACGGUACCAUCAGAGGAAGGGACGGCUAACUACGUGCCAGCAGCCGCGGUAAU